AGAUUGAACGCUGGCGGAAUGCUUUACACAUGCAAGUCGAACGGCAGCACGGGACUCAGGCAACUGAGCCCUGGUGGCGAGUGGCGAACGGGUGAGUAACAUAUCGGAACGUACCCAGUCGUGGGGGAUAACUCUCCGAAAGGAGAGCUAAUACCGCAUACGUCCUGAGGAGAAAGCGGGGGACCUAAGGGUACUGAGGGCCUCGCGCGAUUGGAGCGGCCGAUAGUCGGAUUAGCUAGUUGGUGAGGUAAAGGCUCACCAAGGCGACGAUCCGUAGCGGGUCUGAGAGACGACCGCAC
rnacentral:rRNA from 1 species